UUGUUCACUUGCACAGUCCUAUGGUCAUAGCUAGUCCUUCUUAAAGCUCUAGCCAGUGGGAAAGCGUUUGUGUUUCUAUCCUUGGAGCUCCAAGUGGGACUUCUUAAAAGAUUUAGAAGGAGCAAAGCUGUCAGGAAAUCAGAAACGUCACAUGGACUCCAUGACUGGGAAAAACCUCGUGGUGGCCUGCUCUCAGUGCUUGGAUGUGUGCUAGUUACAUCUCGGAGGUCUGAUUUUCUUAACUCUACUACGGUAAGAAGAUGCCCUCCAUCAGCAGGCCGUGUCUGCUGGGACCUCUCUGGAGACUUCCUGAACCCUGUGGAUUUACAGUAAGAUGCAGUUUCCUGGGGAGUAAUUCUGGUGGAUACAAAUUCCGGAGUAUUACACCUGGCUUGCCUGGAGAUGUUACAAGUAGCUGGAUGGAUUCUUCAGCCUGGAUGCCCACUGAAAACAAGGACCGAAACUAAGAGGAUUGUAUCUCUACCCUUGACUCAAUGAGAAUGUUUGUUGUCAUCUCUCGGGCUACCUGGAGCUCCCUCUAAAAUAGAGCCGAGUUCUGUCACCACAGACAUUGGCAGUGGCACUUGCAUGCCCCUGGCAAGCAGUCUAUCCUGAGGUGGAGGAAGUUGCCCUUGAGUUCUGGCUGGUAACCAGCACAGUAUACCCUUUAAGCGUUCCAGAAGGAUUUUGAGAUCCUUUCCUAAAUCAAAGGUGGAAUAUUUGGGGAUUUGGAAAAUUGAGAUGUGAAGCGUUGACUUAAGAGAUGCCAAGUAACUCAGCAGAUGUCACACAGACGAUAAAUAGCAAAGAUGGAAGUCUUCAUGCCGGAGGCAAUCCUAUAAGACAGCUGAGUUCUGCAGAGCUGGAGACAGACUUGCUCAGGUGAUAGAUCCAGCCAUGAUACUGACCCUAAGAGAAUGAGACGCUCUGCAGAAGACAGAAGAUUCCUGAAACUGGGAAAGGUGCCUAGAAAUCCUGAUAAGAGUGAAGAAGGGUACCUGGAGGCACAGCAGCCAUGUUGAACCUAUGAGGUGAUGAAAAACCAUGCAACUAGAAACCAGAAUGGAAGAAAAGAAGAAGCUGGAUCCUUGACUGAAUUGUCGAUGGGGGAUAGUCCAUCAUCCCAGGGCUAAGACCACCUCCAGAUUUCUUGUUUGGUGAAACAAGUCCUGAUUGUUUACAUUCCCUCGUGUUGAGCUGUCUCUUGCUUGUAGCUGAAAGCAUUUCUAAUAGAUAUUCAGAUUAUCAGCCUUAGCUCCAAGCUAGAAUACUCUAUGGGACCUUAGCUUCUCCAUGAAUUCCUUUGCUCAUCUGUGUAAUGCUCAAUAAAUGUAAAUUGAACCCUGAAUGAGGGACAAUGACACUA
rnacentral:lncRNA from 1 species